UACGGAGGGUGCAAGCGUUAUCCGGAUUCACUGGGCUUAAAGGGUGCGUAGGCGGGCAGGGAAGUCAGUGGUGAAAUCUCCGGGCUUAACUCGGAAACUGCCGUUGAUACUCUCUGUCUUGAAUCCCGUGGAGGCGAGCGGAAUAUGUCAUGUAGCGGUGAAAUGCUUAGAUAUGACAUAGAACACCAAUUGCGAAAGCAGCUCACUACACGAAUAUUGACUCUGAGGCACGAAAGCGUGGGGAUCAAACAGG
rnacentral:rRNA from 1 species